AUCGCUUUCACGGCCUAUUUGGCUAUGAUCAAAGUGUAGUAUCUGUUCUUAUUAGAUUGAAAUCUAAUAGGAGGUCUAUACGACCUCUUGAAUUUCAAACUGAUUUUUGGAACUCGGUAGAGUGACUGGGGCUUGCUCCGGCUCUACCAUGGGUCUUGUCUGCAUUGCAUUACCGCAGAUAGAGGCCUGAUAACC
rnacentral:snRNA from 1 species